CGAACGCUGGCGGCGUGCUUAACACAUGCAAGUCGACCGGAAAGGCCCUGCUUGCAGGAUACUCGAGUGGCGAACGGGUGAGUAACACGUGGGUGAUCUGUCCUGCACUUCGGGAUAAGCCUGGGAAACUGGGUCUAAUACCGGAUAGGAGCCAUUUUUAGUGUGAUGGUUGGAAAGUUUUUUUCGGUGUAGGAUGAGCUCGCGGCCUAUCAGCUUGUUGGUGGGGUAAUGGCCUACCAAGGCGGCGACGGGUAGCCGGCCUGAGAGGGUGGACGGCCACAUUGGGACUGAGAUACGGCCCAGACUCCUACGGGAGGCAGCAGUGGGGAAUAUUGCACAAUGGGCGCAAGCCUGAUGCAGCGACGCCGCGUGGGGGAUGACGGCCUUCGGGUUGUAAACUCCUUUCGCUAGGGACGAAGCUUUUUGUGACGGUACCUAGAUAAGAAGCACCGGCUAACUACGUG
rnacentral:rRNA from 1 species